rnacentral:rRNA from 1 species
GGUGCAGCAGGCGCGAAAACUUUACAAUGCGGGAAACCGUGAUAAGGGGACGCCGAGUGCCAGCAUCAUAUGCUGGCUGUCCAGGUGUGUAAAAUACACCUGUCAGCAAGGGCCGGGCAAGACCGGUGCCAGCCGCCGCGGUAACACCGGCGGCCCGAGUGGUGAUCGUGAUUAUUGGGUCUAAAGGGUCCGUAGCCGGUUUGGUCAGUCCUCCGGGAAAUCUGACGGCUCAACCGUUAGGCUUUCGGGGGAUACUGCCAGGCUUGGAACCGGGAGAGGUAAGAGGUACUACAGGGGUAGGAGUGAAAUCUUGUAAUCCCUGUGAGACCACCUGUGGCGAAGGCGUCUUACCAGAACGGGUUCGACGGUGAGGGACGAAAGCUGGGGGCACGAACCGGAUUAGAUACCCGGGUAGUCCCAGCCGUAAACGAUGCUCGCUAGGUGUCAGGCAUGGCGCGACCGUGUCUGGUGCCGCAGGGAAGCCGUGAAGCGAGCCACCUGGGAAGUACGGCCGCAAGGCUGAAACUUAAAGGAAUUGGCGGGGGAGCAC